rnacentral:rRNA from 1 species
CCUACGGGCGGCAGCAGUGAGGAAUAUUGGACAAUGGGGGAAACCCUGAUGCAGCGACGCCGCGUGAGGGAAGAAGUAUUUCGGUAUGUAAAGCUCUAUCAGCAGGGGAGAAAAUGACGGUACCUGACUAAGAAGCCCCGGCUAAGUACGUGCCAGCAGCCGCGGGAAUGCGUAGGGGGCAGGCGUUAUCCGGAUUUACUGGGUGUAAAGGGAGCGUAGACGGUUAAUCAAGUCAGAAGUGAAAAGCCAGGGCUCAACCUUGGGACUGCUUUUGAAACUGAGUAGCUAGAGUGCAGGAGAGGUAAGCGGAAUUCCUAGUGUAGCGGUGAAAUGCGUAGAUAUUAGGAGGAA